rnacentral:sRNA from 1 species
AUAAUAAAAGAAGGAAAAAAGUCACCCUGCUUGUACCAUUUUAAUACAUCUGGUGCUAUCUCACUACAUUUUCUUCUGUGUUUGAAUAUGAGUGUGCAUGUGCACACACACAGGUGAUUUUUAUAGAGAUUUUUGGAAACACAGCCGUAGGGUGAGUAGGUAAGUAACAAGCCUUGAUUUUGUUUGCUCUUUUGCUCACCAUUAUACGAAAAGCAUUAUUCUGGUAGUUUUUAAGCUAGUUAAUGAAUGGCUCUUUGAAGGCCUCUGGGUCUGCCUUGGAGUGUAGUGAGCUCUAAUGAGUUGAGUUUGGAGCCCUGUGUACUGCCCCUAAUGGAGCUCUUGCCUUCCAGCCGUGUGGGCUUGGACUGGGCGUGCUCCAUGGCAGAGAUCCUGCGGUCACUCAACAGUGCCCCACUGUGGCGUGAUGUCAUUGCCACCUUCACAGACCACUGCAUCAAGCAGCUGCCAUUCCAGCUGAAGCACACCAACAUCUUCACCCUGCUCGUGCUGGUUGGCUUCCCCCAGGUCCUCUGUGUGGGAACCCGCUGCGUUUAUAUGGAUAAUGCCAAUGAACCCCAUAAUGUGAUCAUCUUGAAGCACUUUACUGAGAAGAACAGGGCUGUGAUUGUUGAUGUCAAAACUCGGAAGAGGAAAACAGUGAAGGACUACCAGCUGGUCCAGAAGGGAGGAGGACAAGAGUGUGGUGACUCUCGGGCCCAGCUGAGCCAGUACUCCCGGCACUUUGCCUUUAUCGCCAGUCACCUUCUGCAAAGCAGCAUGGACAGCCAUUGUCCCGAGGCAGUGGAAGCAACUUGGGUCCUGUCCCUGGCCCUCAAAGGAUUGUAUAAAACACUAAAG